rnacentral:rRNA from 1 species
GCAUAUAAGUAAGCGGAGGAUAAGAAACUAAAUAGGAUUCCCUCAGUAAUGGCGAAUGAACAGGGAUAAGCUCAGUAUGGAAAUCGGGGCCUGUGGCCUUGAAUUGUAGUCUCGAGAAGCAUUGCCAACGGAGGCGCAGAUGUAAGCCUCUUGGAAAAGAGCAUCAACGAGGGUGAGAGUCCCGUUUGUCAUCUGCAGUCCCCCGUGCACGGUGUGCUUUCUUAAGAGUCACGUUCCUCGGGAUUGGAGCGCAAAGUGGGUGGUAAAUUUCAUCUAAAGCUAAAUAUAGGUUCGAGACCGAUAGCAAACAAGUACCAUGAGGGAAAGGUGAAAAGGACUUUGAAAAGAGAGUUAAAAGUGCCUGAAAUUGCUGAAAGGGAAGCGAAUGGAACCAGUGUUUCUUGGCAAGAUUGGUGCGUGCUAUUGUGAUUGCCUGCUGCUUCAGCGCAAGCGUGGCAGUGGGUUUUGAUCAGGACGCGCGUGUUGUUUCUUGCCUUGUGUGUCAACGUCAGUUCUCAAUCGAGGAAAACGCCAGGGACAUGGUAGCUCGGCUCCGGUUGAGUGAAUAUUCUUGGUCGAACUCAUUUGUGAACUGUUUCCUGCGUGUCUGGUUGCAGUGCUCUGUGUCCUCAUGACUCGUGGGUGGGCUUCUUGCUCGUCGCGGCGGAUUGGGUGAUCGGAACAUCUCCUGACACAACGACGAUGACUAAAUGGUUCUAUUCGACCCGUCUUGAAA